CGCGGCCUAUCAGCUUGUUGGUGAGGUAACGGCUCACCAAGGCAUCGACGGGUAGCUGGUCUGAGAGGACGAUCAGCCACACUGGGACUGAGACACGGCCCAGACUCCUACGGGAGGCAGCAGCAGGGAAUAUUGCGCAAUGGGCGAAAGCCUGACGCAGCGACACCGCGUGAAGGAUGAAGGCCCUCGGGUUGUAAACUUCUUUCAGUGGGGAAGAAGCGAAAGUGACGGUACCCACAGAAGAAGCCCCGGCCGACUACGUGCCAGCAGCCGCGGUAAUACGUAGGGGGCAAGCGUUGUCCGGAUUCAUUGGGCGUAAAGAGCUCGUAGGCGGCUUGGCAAGUCGGUCGUGAAAUACCGAGGCUCAACCUCGGAACGCCGAUCGAAACUGCCAUGGCUAGGGUCCGGUAGAGGAGAGUGGAAUUCCCGGUGUAGCGGUGAAAUGCGCAGAUAUCGGGAGGAACACCAGUAGCGAAGGCGGCUCUCUGGGCCGGUACCGACGCUGAGGAGCGAAAGCGUGGGGAGCAAACAGGGUUAGAUACCCUGGUAGUCCACGCCGUAAACGUUGGGUACUAGGUGUGGCGGGUUCAUCAAUGCCCGCCGUACCGAAGCUAACGCAUUAAGUACCCCGCCUGGGGAGUACGG
rnacentral:rRNA from 1 species